UGACGGUACCCCAAGAGAAAGCUCCGGCUAAUUAUGUGCCAGCAGCCGCGGUAAUACAUAAGGAGCAAGCGUUAUCCGGAAUUAUUGGGCGUAAAGAGCUCGUAGGCGGUCUUAAAAGUCAGGUGUGAAAUCAUCAGGCUCAACCUGAUAAGGUCAUCUGAAACUUUAAGACUUGAGGAUAGAAGAGGAAAGUGGAAUUCCCGGUGUAGCGGUGAAAUGCGUAGAUAUCGGGAGGAAUACCAGUGGCGAAGGCGGCUUUCUGGUCUAUUUCUGACGCU
rnacentral:rRNA from 1 species